rnacentral:rRNA from 1 species
UACGUAGGGUGCAAGCGUUAAUCGGAAUUACUGGGCGUAAAGCGUGCGCAGGUGGUUGUGCAAGACAGAUGUGAAAUCCCCGGGCUUAACCUGGGAAUGGCACUUGAAACUACGGGACUGGAGUAUGGCAGAGGGAGGUGGAAUUCCACGUGUAGCGGUGAAAUGCGUAGAGAUGUGGAGGAACACCGAUGGCGAAGGCAGCCUCCUGGGCCAAUACUGACGCUCAUGCACGAAAGCGUGGGGAGCAAACAGG